rnacentral:lncRNA from 1 species
GAACACCUGGGGCCAGCUCCAGGCUUUGCCCCCGAAUUUGCCAUCCCAUUCUCUUUGUGAGGUCAUCUUACCUCUAGACUUGGAUGUCUCCUGGGUGAAGUUAGUCGUGCCAGCUCCUCCUAAGCUCCUGGGAAAGGCAAUACCCUCACCUCGCUUGGGUGAGCAGGCACCUAGGGGAGGGUGAAUUGCCUUGUGAUGACAGUGGGGAGCCAAGAGGCCUAGAGGACAUAAGUGGUCCAGACCUCAAAGGUGAAGGCCGGCAGCACUGUUAGCCCCCCCUGACAGGCAAAGCAGAAGGAAAACCAGCCCCCUAUGGUCUUGUCACAGUCAUCUGGGCAUCAUACCCUGUCCAGGUGGAGCAUCAUGGCCUUCAGCUGGGGAGGUGGCAAGCUCAGAUUCCUCGGCACCUCUUGGUCCUGCUCAAGCCAUGUGCUCAGAAAACAAAUGAGCACCAGAAGAAACGGAGCACAAACCAAUGCCUGAAAAACUGAUAGAGAUGAAGUGCUGCUGAGUGGAUAAUGGUGUUUGCCUCUGAGCUACUGGGAGCCAAAUUAUCACUUGACCCAAAGUACCUGAAAAGAUCAUGCCA